CAGUCGCCACGGUAAUACGUAGGGUGCAAGCGUUGUCCGGAAUUAUUGGGCGUAAAGAGCUCGUAGGCGGUUUGUCGCGUCUGCUGUGAAAACGCGAGGCUCAACCUCGCGCCUGCAGUGGGUACGGGCAGACUAGAGUGUGGUAGGGGAGAUUGGAAUUCCUGGUGUAGCGGUGGAAUGCGCAGAUAUCAGGAGGAACACCGAUGGCGAAGGCAGAUCUCUGGGCCAUUACUGACGCUGAGGAGCGAAAGCGUGGGGAGCGAACAGGAUUAGAGACCCCCGUAGUCCCUGUCUCUUAUAC
rnacentral:rRNA from 1 species